AGAUAUUUCUACACUGGAAGUCAGAGCUCCAGCAUAUGAAUUUGGAGAAUGAGGGCCUAAAACUUUCUACCUAUAGUAAGAUGCUGUUUAAAUCAUCUCCCACCAAUAAAUGGAAAAAGAAAUGCUAACUUUCUUCUUGUUAGUGUGAGGUUCCUGUAUGAUGACGUGCUCCCACACAUAAAAAGGAAAACACUGGUGGAGACAUUCCUCAGCUCCUUUCCCACC